UGUAGCUCAGUGGAAGAGCAUCUGUCUAGCAUGUGUGAGGCCCUGGGUUCAAUUCCCAGCA
rnacentral:tRNA from 1 species